UGGGGUAGAACGAACUGGCAUCGGGCUAAUAUCCCGGUGUCUUGACGGUACUGCCUUAGCAAGCAUCGGCUAACUCUGUGCCAGCAGCCGCGGUAAGACAGAGGAUGCGAACGUUGCUCGGAUUUACUGGGCGUAAAGCGCGUGUAGGCGGUCUCGUUAGUCGGGUGUGAAAGCCCCGGGCUCAACCCGGGAAGUGCACCCGAUACUGCGAGACUGGGGUACUGAAGAGGAGAGCGGAAUUCCCGGUGUAGAGGUGAAAUUCGUAGAUAUCGGGAGGAACACCAGUGGCGAAGGCGGCUCUCUGGGCAGAUACCGACGCUGAGACGCGAAAGCGUGGGGAGCAAACAGGAUUAGAUACCCUGGUAGUCCACGCUGUAAACGAUGACGACUGGGUGUUGCAGGUAUUGACCCCUGCGGUGCCGAAGCCAACGCGUUAAGUCGUCCGCCUGGGAAGUACGGCCGCAAGGCUAAAAACUC
rnacentral:rRNA from 1 species